UACGUAGGUGGCAAGCGUUGUCCGGAUUUACUGGGCGUAAAGGAUGCGUAGGCGGAUAUUUAAGUGAGAUGUGAAAUACCCGGGCUUAACUUGGGUGCUGCAUUCCAAACUGGAGGACUAGAGUGCAGGAGAGGAAAGUGGAAUUCCUAGUAUAGCGGUGAAAUGCGUAGAGAUUAGGAAGAACACCAGUGGCGAAGGCGACUUUCUGGACCGUAACUGACGCUGAGGCAUGAAAGCGUGGGGAGCAAAC
rnacentral:rRNA from 1 species